rnacentral:rRNA from 1 species
UGGGGAAUUUUGGACAAUGGGCGCAAGCCUGAUCCAGCAAUGCCGCGUGCAGGAUGAAGGCCUUCGGGUUGUAAACUGCUUUUGUACGGAGCGAAAAGGUCUGCCCUAAUACGGUGGGCUCAUGACGGUACCGGAAGAAUAAGCACCGGCUAACUACGUGCCAGCAGCCGCGGUAAUACGUAGGGUGCAAGCGUUAAUCGGAAUUACUGGGCGUAAAGCGUGCGCAGGCGGUUAUGCAAGACAGAGGUGAAAUCCCCGGGCUCAACCUGGGAACUGCAUUUGUGACUGUAUAGCUAGAGUACGGUAGAGGGGGAUGGAAUUCCGCGUGUAGCAGUGAAAUGCGUAGAUAUGCGGAGGAACACCGAUGGCGAAGGCAAUCCCCUGGACCUGUACUGACGCUCAUGCACGAAAGCGUGGGGAGCAAACU